CGUAGGGUGCGAGCGUUAAUCGGAAUUACUGGGCGUAAAGCGUGCGCAGGCGGUUUGUUAAGAUAGGCGUGAAAUCCCCGGGCUCAACCUGGGAACUGCGCUUAUGACUGGCAAGCUAGAGUACGGCAGAGGGGGGUGGAAUUCCACGUGUAGCAGUGAAAUGCGUAGAGAUGUGGAGGAACACCAAUGGCGAAGGCAGCCCCCUGGGUCGAUACUGACGCUCAUGCACGAAAGCGUGGGUAGCAAACAGGAUUAGAUACCCUGGUAGUCCACGCCCUAAAACGAUGUCAACUAGGUGUUGGAUGGGUAAAACCAUUUAGUACCGGAGCUAACGCGUGAAGUUGACCGCCUGGGGAGUACGGCCGCAAGGUUA
rnacentral:rRNA from 1 species